rnacentral:rRNA from 1 species
CCCUUAGAUGUUCUGGGCUGCACGCGCGCUACACUGAUGCGCUCAACGAGUUUUAACCUUGCCUGGAAAGGUUGGGUAAUCUUUUUAAAACGCAUCGUGAUGGGGAUAGAUUAUUGCAAUUAUUAAUCUUCAACGAGGAAUUCCUAGUAAGCGCGAGUCAUCAGCUCGUGCUGAUUACGUCCCUGCCCUUUGUACACACCGCCCGUCGCUCCUACCGAUUGAAUGUUCCGAUGAAUACCAUGGACUGAGAGUAUGAAUGGGUUCGCCUAUUUCUGCUUCUCGGGAAGUGGAGUAAAUCUUAACAUUUAGAGGAAGGAGAAGUCGUAACA